AUGCCCAAUAGCAGGCCAAAGAGUUACAGCUUUCUGUAGCUCCCAGAGGUGGCACCUCCUGACACCAGGUUCGACAGCAGCGGAGAGGUCCCCCAUUGCAACACUGACACAGCUCACACCUGCCUAGCUGGCAGAGCCCGAGCUGGGCUGUGGUCUCUGCCUUGCUCUCUUCGUGCGUGGAGAUGACGGUGCCGCUGAAAGGCCGAAGCAGCAGGAACACUUCUGAGAAGCAGGGCCAGCACGUCAGGGUCCCUCCAGCCCCCUGGGUAGCUCACAGGCCCCGGUGGGCAGGGCCAGGGAAAUCAAAAGCACCACGCUGCCUGAACCCCUCCAUCACCAUCAGUCCCUAGCCCCCAGGUACAGCGCCGACCCUCACCCCCAGCGCAAACAGCCCCCGACAGCCAGGCCCUACCCUGGGCAGCUGCGGGUGAGAAUCCAGCUGAACAACGGCCACAGAUAAGGAACAAGCCAGCAUGCGGCCGCAACUGACAAAAGUGCAACUAAAAUGAGGACUGGUUUCCUUUGUCACCCCUCCCCCCCUGCUUCCUCAUUUGAAGCUGAGUGGUGAAGGGGAGGGGGGGAGCAAGUGCUGUCCACCUGUGCGAGCUGGCACUGGGCACGGGGAAGCACCCACUGGGCACCCAUGCCUGGGGUGUGGAGCAGGAAUAGCGCCACGAGGAAUAGCGCUCUCGAACAGCCUGGCAUUUGGGCGGCAGCUGGCUGCCUGGGGAAGCAUAUGGCUCUGGAGGGGCUCUGAGCAGUGCCUGCUGGAAGUUGAGAUUACAAAACAAUUUCCAUUCUAAGCAGCUGUUUUCCAACUCCCAUGGAUUCUGGGCUGAAAUGAGCCUCCGGGCUCAAGCGGAUUAUGGUUUAAUUUAUCUACUGUUUUGCUUGUGCAAAGUUUGAGCAAAAUCUCCUGGAUCAGUUUUGACUGGCUGAGCCCCACCCCACUCUUGCCCUCCCCUUCCUGUCUGCAAAACCGAUGGCUGCCCUGGGUGUGCUGCAAAGAUAACUCCAAGCUGGCUGCGCUCUGACACCCGCCUGCACAGAGCCCUCGGCAAGGAGCAUGGCUUGCGGCUGGGACCACGCUUGAUAAAAUGACACGGCUAAAACGGGAACAAAUCCAUGGCUGCCUAGCACUUCCCAAGCGUUGCCAUGUGUCACGCUGCAGCCGAGCAGGGGCCGAACUCACAUCCCCCCUGUGGCAAAAGCACAGGCCCCUGCCUCAUCUGCUAAAGGUGAAUCUCCUUUAAGCAGUACGGGGCCUAUGCCACACAGCUGAAUCUUUCUAAUCCAUCUGCUCAAGGACAGUGGUCCAGCGGAGCGCCUCUCUGUGGCAGUGGGGAGCACUGGUCCAACUCCCCCAGGCUCCUGGUCCACCAGUUCUGUAGACACCCCCAUCUCGGACAUUCCCAUCAAAACUGCAUCUGUUCCUGGCCUUGGCUCCUCCAGGUGGUUGCCACCCAAGGGCGGAGGUGCCUGCAUGUCAUUCUGCUCCCGAGGGCCUUACCAUCCAACCAUCGCUUCACUGGACUUGAAAAGACAAGGGGCCAAUUUGCUCGAGGAUGGUACCUGGGAUCGACGCUGGCUGGAGUGUAUUGAAACGUUGGGUACAGCCCAUCCCAUGUCAUAGAAUCAUAGAAUAUCAGGGUUGGAAGGGACCUCAGGAGGUCAUCUAGUCCAACCCCCUGCUCAAAGCAGGACCAUCCCCAAUUUUUGCCCUAGAUCCCUAAAUGGCCCCCUCAAGGAUUGAACUCACAACCCUGGGUUUAGCAGGUCAAUGCUCCAACCACUGAGCUAUCCCUCCACACUUGGGCCCAGCUCUUUGUCUUUAGUGUAAUAGGCAUGGGGUUGUUUUCGGAAAGCUUGUUGCCUAAGCACUUCCCCCUCCAGGCUGGGAUGGAUUAGAUCCACAUGAGCUCUUAUCUUCCUGCCCAUCGAUAGCCAGGUGGGCUCGCACCCAGCGCAGUCAGAGCACUGGUUCUGUAUUUCCAGGGAAAUCGAGCUAGCUUCAUUCCCGAGCUGCCAUUAAUCAUCUUUUCAUCCCCUCUUUAAAGAUCCUCUCAGCUCUCUCUGUGAGGCCAUUGCAGGCUGGAUGAGAUGGGGAAGUUUGAAUAGGUUUAAUCCCAUGUUUGUUCAGAAAGUCUUUGAAUUCCAUGCUUGUAAAAGCUGGUCCAUUGUCUGUGCCGAGGACCCCCUGGUAGCCCGUGUGAGGUUUAAGGCUGUCAGAGCCUUUCCCAGGUAGCAGUGCAGGUCAUUGAGCUCAUCACAUGCUCAUGGGGCAAUUUGAUGCCUGGCAUCAGGGAGGGACAAGGGAAAAGUGUCAAAUCGUUGCAGGUCUCCUGGGCCUUGGGCCAGUGGCAUAUGCUGUUUGCUGCCGUCUACAAGAGUCUGCAAACUUCCGCUUUCAAGGUGACCUGCAAAGCGUGUGCAUGUACGUGCCCACGUGUAUGUGUGUGGCAUGUAUGCGAUGUGUGCACACACAGGUGUGUGUGUGUGUGUGUGUCCAUAUGCAUGCAUGUGUGUGCAUUUUCUAGCCAGUGCCAAUCUGACCCCCGAGCAAUAGUGUUUAACAGCCGUUACCGUCGCACAGCUCUGGGCGGCCUGUGCAAAGUGUGGGUGAACUCGCUGCAGUUCCUAGGGGAGCCCCACGCUUGUCCCCCUCGUCGGCAGCCUCGUGAGAGAGGCCCCAGCACUGGGCUGCGGAGUUGGGCCUCCCCUCUCGCACCCAGAGACGCUCACUCCCAGGGCGGGCCGGCCAACUGGCUGAGUCAAACGGGAGUGAAGCAGGGCUGGGGCUGGGGAUAAACAGGGCAGUUCGGGGCUUGCGAGCCUUUAUUUGGCUCCACAUUCUUGUAAAACCCCAAAAGGCUGCUGCUGAUCUCGCUGGCAAAGUCAGCAAGGAAAGGACUGGCAGAUAACGACCAGCUUUGCUGCUCCCGCUGGUGGAGGACGCUGAUGGGUCGUGCCUGGGGAGAGGCUUGUCCUGUCCUGCGGAGCUGUCCUCUCUGCAGCGCCUGAGCGAUUCCGCUCAUGGGCCCAGCGAACAAGACUGGCCUUUUUCUCAACCCGUAGGAGAGAGGGGGCUGGACAGGGCUGGGCUUUUGGGGCAUCGGUUAGCUGUGCCUUGCGCUGCUGCGUGUCUCCUUGGGCCGAUGGCGGCGCAUUAAAGGGUUAUGUCACGCGGGUCAGUUCGGCGGAUGUCGAUGAUGGAGAGGCGCGUGUGAAACCAAAUGCCAGCGAAAAAACUGGCAGGCAACUGACACGCCUAAGCCAGCAUGGGAGCUGCAUGCCAGCUAACCUUGUCUGUGCAGAAACAAAGGGAAAUGAUCAACCAAGAACCACUGACAAUCACAGGAAACGGACGCCAUUGAGGUACACCCACAUGUGGAGCACUAUGAAUAGCCAGGCAGAGAUGGUCUUUAGAAACGCCUACUGUGUCUAGUCUCAAACCCCGGUGUGAUGAUCAGAGGCACCGGUCACAGCGUAACCAACAAAUGGCUGCGUACCCGCUCAGCCCCCUUGGGCGUUAGCAGGGAUUGAAACUUGGCCCAUCACCACUACGGGUGCAGGCCGCAGAGUCUCGAGCCAAACGAGAGCUCCUGUAACUGGGCGACAGUCGUAGCCUUGUGCAGCUGGAUGCUCAGGAAACGAUACCGUUGCCUGUAUUUGCAGCAGGCGUCCAAUCUGACCCAGGAGGAAUUAAUGAUCUCCGGGCAGGUAAAUAUACAGCCAAAAAACGUCCCCGUCGUUUUGUUGGUUCGCUGGAGUUUUGCUCAUUUACCAGGCUCCAGUCCCGCAGCGGCUCAAGUCCCUCAAGCCCCUUGUCGUUCAAAUGCGCUGUCGUCAGAAACGUUCAAACUCGGCUGCCUGGAGCGAGACCCCUCCAGCUGAAUGUAGCCACCCAGAUGUAGAGGCAGCCUGAUUUGCAGAGGCACCGAAUGUGCACAAACCCGCCAGCGCGGGGGGGGUGGCAAUCAGCAAAUCAGACUGCUUAUUUCAGACUGGGCUUUGAAAGGCUCUUUAAGGAAAUUAGGCAGUGGGGGAAGGGCACCUAUGGAUUUAGGGGUCCAACUGUGGGCCCUCAGGGUUGAACAUUUUGGCUUGUGUUUGCCCCUUUUCACGGCUGGGGGCCAUCACUCAUUAGGGAUAACUAGUAGCAUUUGGCAAAGAAAAGAAACACCCGUGGAAGGAGCUGGAUUGUACGUGCGAUCGCUUGGAAAGCCACAUGCACUGCUGCGGUCCUUGCUCAGCAGGUGCAAAGAGUAGCUAAGAAGCGUAAGGGCUUAUCUCAGGAGGAUCUUACAUCUCUGCAAGUGAAGGGGUGAUUCUGCGAUACGCCCUCCCAGGGCAGGGAGGGGCCCAGAAUAAACAAGCAGCCAGGGUUAACGGAUCUACCAAGCUCUGAACACUACAGCAAGACCUACGUAACUAGGGCGCUGUUCUUCUGUGUGUCUGCAGUGUGAUGCUGGUGAGCUGGGACAGGUCACCCUCCUGCUAUUGAUUGCUCCACACACAGGACCAUAUUAUGGAAUAAGUCUCCUAAAUUCCGCCUGCCCACUGACAAAUCCCUGCCCAUUCGUAAGAACAGAGUUAUAAUGCCAGCCACUAAACGGUAGUGAACCACCACACCCGCAAUUCUUUAGCAUGCAACCAGGACCGCAGAUCUGGUCUAUGCUGGGGAUAUUUGCAUCCCUGCAAUUCUACACCGUAGCGGCAACACAGAGUAAGCCAUACGGGGUCAGCCCCAUAGUGCAUCAGUGCAGGAUGUCUGCACUAGGGGGUGGGAGGAAGGGAUGUUGCAGAGAUGGGUUUUAUGGGUUUUAUCCCAAGAAGCCAUAAAUCUGGCCAGUGGGGAAGCUGGAACAAGAGGUGAUCAAAUGAAUUAAAGUCCUCAGCUCCACCGCUGCGUUAAGGGUCAUUUAGUGUCUCAGGCUUUGCUGUUAGAUUUGAAAAAAUGGGAACAUUAUAAACCAGCACUAAGAGACCCAGCCUCCUGUUGGGCAAUCUGGCCAUGGCAAGUGAUGGUUUGAUUUUUGUUUCUCUCAUAUGGAACAAGAAGAAAGCAGGAUUUCCUGCCCCGAAACUAGUUCAGACUUGGAGGAGUGUUGUGCAUGGAUGCAGAAGGACAUCUAGUGGCUGAUAACUGCACUGCACCCCAGGUUCCUACAGGCCAGUUUCCUUCCCUGAGAUGAUCAUCUGGCUACGUCUGGAGGACAGAAGUCGGACAAUGGUGACAGCUAUUGAAUCACCCAGGCCAAUUCCUGAAGCAGUUCAGGUUUGAUCCUCGCUGCAGCUGGGCAGAGGCAACUAGUGUUGCCAGCGCUGGGGAUAUUUGGGGGUUUUCUUAAAGCCCCAACUCCUGGAAUCAGGCUGGUUUGCCAGAAUCCCCACGUUCGUUUCAAAAGAAAAGGUUCCAGCCCUCAUGGCAACAGAGAUGGAAAACGUGAGGUGAGUGCACCUGAGAGGCUCAGAAAAGCCCCCCCCCCCUUACUAGUUAAAAGAAUCUUGUGAUUUGGGGGGUCUGAUUCCUCAUUUUUGAACCCAGGGAGUUGGCCAUAUAAUGUCUUCGGGAGCCUCAGGAUGCUGAGCUAAGCUGGCCACUUUCUCAUAGAUUCAGUGUCUUUCCUUUGGCUGCUUGCUCCUGUCUGAUCGCAAGACUGGCUGCAUUCAGCCCUUCUCCUCAUUCCAGCCAGGCAGGACCCAGGUAAAACACUCCCCACCUGCCACUCACCGUGAUGUCCUGGCCCAUCCUUCAGGGUGGUGGCACGUAUGCAUGGUGCAGGGAUAGGCGUCGUCUGCUCCAGAGAUGGGUGGGAAGCUCCUAUGGGCUGAAGCCAUGAGACAAACCUGCAGGGAGCAGCCGGCUGGGAUCCAAUGACAAGGCAGGAGGGGAAGGGAAGAGCGGGCAAGUCACCUGGCAGAAAGGAGGCAGCAAAGCAGGUGCAAAUGCAACGUGUCCUGUCCCCAAGCUUAGCAAUCAUCCUCCCUCCUCUGCGCCUCUAGGGAUCCAGAGCUCGCCUUGUCCCGGGCCGCUCCAGAGACCCUGGGGAGGAAUUUCUCCAGUCCACUUCCCCACCUUGACAGUAAACACUUUUAGAUCCUCUCUUGCCUGGGAGUUAUGGGGGAACCCCCGCAAUGCCGAUUGGGUCAGGGGAGGACAGGGAUGGCAAAGGUGCGCAGUCCUGUGUCAAUCCAAAACACGUCCUGCUCCCCAGGGUGGAGGGUGAUGGGGGGGGGAGUCCGCAGGGUGGGUCAGGGUGGCUUGGAACGGGCCACUGGGCAGAUGGGAGGCAGCUGAGCGCCCAGCGCAGGGCCCCAGGCCAUCCAGGCAGGAGCGGGGCGAGCUGAGAAAUGACACUCGGACCAGAAGCUGCCCGGGAUGGUAGCUACUCCUUUAUUAUAAAUCAUGCCGGUAUUUUGCGCCUUCUUCUCAGAGUUAGUAUUUUAAACAAUUUUUGUUAUAAUAUAUUUAUAUAAAAUCGUGAAAACAACGCCUCCCCCCCCGGAGUAAGCGUCGGAAUGGAACAUUCCACCAGGAAGGAAGACAAUUAAUACCCACGCGCCAGCCUAUCAGGAGCCAGCCAGCACCCGAGAGGCUGUGAUUGGCUGGGCAGGACGGACUGCUCCAUUCACUCAGUCCCCCUCCCCGGCCCGAGGCCUGCUUCCCAGCGCCAUGGCAGCCAUGGAGCACGCUCAGUUUCCCAGAGGCGGACAGCGAUGCCCUUCAGGAGACCCGGCACGGAGCAAGGCGAGAGCAGGACCAGAGCAUGCUGAUUGGCUGUCGAGGACCACCCUGCCCUCCCCAGUGUGGCGGGCAGGGUUGUUGGCACCAUCUGGAGGCUGUUGGCUGGUGCCCGCAGGACCCAGCUGUGCUACUAAAUAAAUAACAAAUGUCAGAAUUUCAA